rnacentral:lncRNA from 1 species
GUCUUUCCCCCUCACUAGAGGAUUUGAAAGAAUCAGACUCAGAGUUAGAAUCAGAAUCUUGGACCUAGCUUGCCUUUAAUUUCUCAUUCAAUUUCUUUGAAAGAGCACCAGAAGCCACUAUUUUUUGAGCGAGCAUUUUUACUUUCCUUCGCCUGGAUUGGGAAGUUGUGCUAGGUGGAAGAGAGGCAGAUGAAUCAGAGGGAGUAGGUUGUGGAGGAGUUCCUGGGUUGUCUUGUGGGUUCGUCAUUGUAGCUUAUUGCUGGAGAGAAUUGGUGAAUUAAACCUCUGGAGAAGAAGCAAUUGAGAGUGAAGAAGAGUUUUUGAUGGUUUAGAAUUAUGAAGAUGACAUGAAGUAAUAAUGUGUAUUUAAAGAGAAAGACGCAUUUAAUGCAUAACAACAGCUUUAGCAGUUAACUAGAGGUCUAAUCAACCAGAAAUUGCAGGUUGAAUGAACAGUUAAGCUUUCCCAAAUUUUAGGCAAUUUUUGGGUUAGAAUUCUAAGAACGCCGGAACUGGUUUAAAAAACAACCGGGUAAAAUUUUCUAAGGAGUUGAAC